AUUGAACGCUGGCGGCAGGCCUAACACAUGCAAGUCGAGCGGACCGGCGGACGGGUGUGUUAUGUUUAGGAAUCUGCCUGGUAGUGGUGGCUAACGCCCGGAAACGGGCGCUAUUACCGCAUACUAUCAGAUUAGCCGAGGUGUGAUUAGCUAGUUGGUGGGUUAAAGGCCUACCAAGGCGACGAUCCGUCACUGGGCUGCGAGGAUGAUCAGUCACACGGGACCUGAGACACGGUCCAGACUCCUACGGGAGGCAGCGGUGGGGAAUAUGGGACAAUGGGAGAAAGCCUAAUGCAGACAGGCGGCGGGUGUGAAGAGGGUCUUCGGAUUGUAAGGCACUUUAAGUUGGAAGGCGGUACCAAAAGAAUAAGCACCGGCUAACUUCGUGCCAGCCGCCGCGGUAAUUC
rnacentral:rRNA from 1 species